GAUGAACGCUAGCGGCAGGCCUAACACAUGCAAGUCGAGGGGUAUAAGUCUUCGGACUUUGAGACCGGCGCACGGGUGCGAAACGCGUAUGCAAUCUACCUUGUACAGAGGGAUAGCCCAGAGAAAUUUGGAUUAAUACCUCAUAGUAUAUUUGAAUGGCAUCAUUUAAAUAUUAAAGUUCCAACGGUACAAGAUGAGCAUGCGUCCCAUUAGUUAGUUGGUGUGGUAACGGCACACCAAGACGAUGAUGGGUAGGGGUCCUGAGAGGGAGAUCCCCCACACUGGGACUGAGACACGGACCAGACUCCUACGGGAGGCAGCAGUGAGGAAUAUUGGUCAAUGGAGGCAACUCUGAACCAGCCAUGCCGCGUGCAGGAUGACGGUCCUAUGGAUUGUAAACUGCUUUUAUACGGGAAGAAAAAGAGUUACGUGUAACUUAUUGACGGUACCGUAAGAAUAAGGAUCGGCUAACUCCGUGCCAGCCGCCGCAGUAA
rnacentral:rRNA from 1 species